rnacentral:rRNA from 1 species
UACGAAGGGUGCAAGCGUUACUCGGAAUUACUGGGCGUAAAGCGUGCGUAGGUGGUUCGUUAAGUCUGAUGUGAAAGCCCUGGGCUCAACCUGGGAAUGGCAUUGGAUACUGGCGACCUAGAGUGCGGUAGAGGGGUGUGGAAUUCCCGGUGUAGCAGUGAAAUGCGUAGAUAUCGGGAGGAACAUCUGUGGCGAAGGCGGCUACCUGGACCAGCACUGACACUGAGGCACGAAAGCGUGGGGAGCAAACAGG